CAGAUUCACAGCAGGAAAUAAACUAGACUGGAGAAAACCUCAACCUGCGCGCAUUCAUCCAUGCGCCGGACUCUGGUUCGAAAUGCCCGCUGCAACUUCUGACACCAGCAAAAUCACUGAUUACGAGGCGGCGACCUCUUUCCUGGGAGAAUGGGGACGUUUCCAUCAGCGGGCGUUUCUCCUCCUCUGCCUGAGUUUCGUCCCUAAUGGACUCACUGCGCUGUCUGUGGUGUUUCUGGCCGACACGCCGGAUCACCGCUGCGCGCUGCCCGCGCACCUGAACCUCAGCGCCGCCUGGAGGAACAGCAGCAUCCCGCUGGAGGAGGAUGCGAGCCGCGGCGGCGCUCUGGUGCCCAGCAAGUGCUCCAGAUACAAAGUGGAAUAUUUAUUAAAUUACACGGAGAGAGGCUUGCUGCCCGGAUUGGACGUUAAUCUCUCCAACGUGCCCAAAGAAAGCUGCCUGGACGGAUGGGAGUUUGACCACAGCGUGUAUGAAUCUACUAUUGUCUCUGAGUGGAACCUGGUGUGUGAUGAAAGCUGGAAGAAGCCGUUCACUUCUUCUAUGUUUUUUGGUGGGAUUCUCGCUGGCUCCUUUGUUUCAGGACAGCUCUCAGACAGAUUUGGGAGGAAAAUGGUGAUGUUUUGUACCAUCGGACUACAAGUAGCCACAACACUGAUUCAGAUUUUUUCUUCAAGCUGGAUCAUGUUUGUCGUCUUGUAUUUUCUUAUUGCAGUGGAGCAAAUUUCCAAUUACCUGGUUGCAUUUGUUCUAGGAGCAGAAAUUUUAGGUCCACAGGUCCGAACAUUUUUCUCCACUGCUGGGGUGUGUCUUUCCUUCGCGGUGGGCUACACACUCCUACCUUUGCUUGCAUUCUGUGUGAGAGGCUGGAGGAUGCUUCAGGUGGGCUUCAUGUUGGCAGGCUGCGCUUGUUUGCCGCUCUUCUGGUUCAUCCCAGAGUCUCCGCGCUGGUUGCUUUCCCAGGGCAGAGUGGAGGAAGCCGAGGUCAUCAUCCGGAACGCUGCCAAGAUGAACAGGAUUGAAUCUCCACCCGUCAUCUUCAGGCCUCUAAAGAAUGAAGGCAGGACCACAGAGACGAGAGUGCUCAACAUCUGUGACCUUCUUCGCUCUCCAAACAUCAGAUGGCUCUCUGUCACGCUGUGGCUGGUCUGGAACACCCUCACCAUCGCCUACUACGCUCUUUCCCUGAACACGGCGAACCUCCAUGGAAAUCCGUUCCUCAACUGUUUCCUGUCUGCUGUGAUCGAGAUCCCAGCCUACGCUUUGUCGUGGGUUAUGUUCCGCUGGUGUUCCAGACGACUCAGCCAAUUCUCAACACUUUUUGCAGGAGGACUCUUUAUAUUCAUCAUACUGUUCAUACCACGACACCUGGUUGCUCUGUCCAUAACGUUUGAGAUGUUGGGGAAGUUUGCGGUGUCCACUGCCUUUGCCGUUGUGUAUGCCUACACAGCAGAGCUGUACCCCACUGUGCUGAGGAACACGGCCGUCGGCGCCUGCUCCACGGCCUCCAGAAUAGGCAGCAUUAUUGCUCCAUACUUCAUUUACUUACGCAAGAACCUACUCCGUGUUCCUGCCGUACAUCAUAGUGGGAAGCCUCACAGCUCUGACUGCACUGCUGAGUCUGCUCCUCCCUGAGAGCUUCGGGAUGCCCCUCCCCGACACCAUCAGCCAAAUGCAAAGAUUUCCUGGAUGUUGCCAGGAAAGACCUUACAUUCUCACCAGGACUAAAGAAGAGGAAAACUCUGCUGAAGAAAAAUCUCUGGCCAGACAGCUGUAAAUUCUGUGGAGUAAAAACUGCACAGAAAAGAUAUAAGAAAACAGAUUCAGGAUAUGGAAAUCUGCUGUUCUAUCCACAAACAAUGGAUUUACUUAAAGAGUCCCUGAUUCUGAAGUUGAUCUAGAGUCUAGACUCUUUUGUUGAAGACAAAAGAAGAGCCUUUCUAAAUCCCUUUUCCUCUAUUUUGUUUUGCACAGAGGGGAUCCAACUCUAUAUGUUGUAGUGAUAAACUCAGGGAGAACAAAGGAUGAUGUUUCCUCAAAUUCACAAAUUUUAAGACACAGAAACAUUUGUUUAACAUAAACAGCAAUAAAACUAUUGAGGAAGGUGGGAUGUCCAAUGUAAUUCAGAAAACAACACUUCUGGAAGUGUUAAAAAAACUGAAUUUAAAGGUGAAUCAGCAACACUUAGUCACAGAGGACCAGAUAGUCACAGAGAACCAGAUAGUCACAGAGGACCAGAUAGUCACAGAGGACCAGAUAGUCACAGAGGACUAGAUAGUCACAGAGGACCAGAUAGUCACAGAGGACCAGAUAGUCACAGAGAACCAGAUAGUCACAGAGGACUAUCUGGUAACGCAACUGGUUCUGAGGCUUCAGCUUUUUGGAUGCAGGGACAUUUGUUCCUGGGUGAAAAAAAAGACAAAUGAGCAAAAGCAAGCUGAAUUCAUCAAAUGACCCCUCCCCCUCUCCACCCCCCCCCCCCCCCAUUCACACACACGUUUCUGUGAAGGUUUGCUGACAAAAUUGCAGCCAACAUUUAGAGGUGGAGCAGCAUGUUAGCAUGUUAGCAUGUUAAUAGUUGUUUCAUCACACCUUGUGCUCCAGCGCCAUCCACUGGUUGAUUGUAAUCAUUACCUAUUAUCGACUGAGUGUGAUGCAGAUUGUUAAGCUACAAAUCUCUAAAUAAAAAAGCUAUUUUGUUA